GACUGGUGGCGGCAGAGCAACAGAGUCUGUCUGGUCCCGGCGAAACUAGCGGCGGUCGAGGGGUGCGACGACGAGGUGGGGACGGCGCUCCAGGCCUCGCCCAAGGGUCUCAGCUCCCUCACUCUCUUCCGCCCCUUCGUCCAGUACUCCUGCUACACCCCGGGUACACGGCCACCCGCUGCCCUCGGCGCCUUCCUCUGGGCCUCGGCCACCUUCCUCCAGGGACCAUGGAAUCAUUGCCAUCGUAGGCCCUCUCACUGGAUUUGUAAUGUCUUCUGUUCCAACUUCACCUGGAGGAGAGUUAGGUCGAAAGAUAUGGGACCUCUCAGAAAUCCUUUUUCGAGCUUUAGAUCUGUCGUGGCCCUCCAUUUCCAGAACUUGUUCUACAGAUAACAAGGUUUUGUACACAUGAAAUGGAUAGAUUCCUAAGCUCCAGAUUGGCUUCAUGUGCUACGCUGCUGGUUGAUGAUUAGCUUCCCCAUUGAUGAAUACAGGGAUACAGGUGUAGGUCAGACACUGUUAUAAUCCCACAGCUUAGGUUGAUGUAACAUAGACCAACAUGAAUUUAUCCAACCCAACUCUUUAAUCUCUAAACAUGAACAAUCUUAUCUUUUCCCUACUCAUUUGGAUUACACAAGAAGUUCUUUUAGUCAUACAUGUGAGGUCAAAUUUUCUUUUGUUGUGUCCUUAAAUCUCUUGUCUUCUUCUCUAUGGGAAUCUUCGAUCUGUGUGAACUUUUGAUGUCUUUAUUUGUGCUUCUUGACUCCACAUAUCUCAUCUUUAACCUUUUGUGUCUUCUAGUUGGCCUUUCCUGAUCCUUGACAUUGUUGCAGUUGCAGGACUUUUUUAUCUUAUUAAUAAUGCAGCAGUUAUUUCAGUUUACAAUCUCUGGACUCAGCUGAUACAAUUAAAAUAUUGUUUUUGGACUUCAAACUUCAAAGUGUGUGCUCUUUCCAAUAGCUCCAAUCUGUUUGUGUUCUAUUCUUUAUUCUAUUGCAACUUUUAUUUGAAAAAUGGAUAUUGGUCAGUGCUGUCAAUAUAAAGUCCAAAAAAAAGUGUCUGCAAAAGAGUGUCAAUGAAUGUGAUGUUAGGUUCAAACCAUUUUUUACUUUUUGUUUCAUAUCAUACAAUCUUAUGUCUCUGUACAAAAGCUAUAAACUUUCUUUAAAUCACCUGCUAAUUUCAUUUUCUUUUC